CCUACGGGUGGCAGCAGUGAGGAAUAUUGGUCAAUGGGCGGAAGCCUGAACCAGCCAAGUAGCGUGCAGGAUGACGGCCCUACGGGUUGUAAACUGCUUUUAUACGGGAAUAACGCGCCUUACGUGUAGGGCUUUGCAUGUACCGUCUGAAUAAGGACCGGCUAAUUCCGUGCCAGCAGCCGCGGUAAUACGGAAGGUCCGGGCGUUAUCCGGAUUUAUUGGGUGUAAAGGGAGCGUAGGCGGCAGGUCAAGCCUGCUGUGAAAUGUCGGGGCUCAACCCGGGCCUUGCAGCGGAAACUGGCGUGCUUGAGUGCGCGGGAGGCAGGCGGAAUUCGUCGUGUAGCGGUGAAAUGCUUAGAUAUGACGAAGAACCCCGAUGGCGAAGGCAGCUUGCUGCAGCGGAACUGACGCUGAGGCUCGAAAGCGCGGGUAUCGAACAGGAUUAGAUACCCGAGUAGUC
rnacentral:rRNA from 1 species